rnacentral:lncRNA from 1 species
UUCACAGCAGGGUUGGGGUACUUGGGGUACCGCGCUAGGAAUUUGUGGCAUAGCAACCCCAAGCUCUUCUCCUUCCGACUCGGCUGGGAUUUCUCAAAUUCGUCUCCUGAUAAGUGUUCCUGCAGAGGGAAAGCAGGUCAACAGCCUUCCAACAGCUCCGGGCUCCACACUGACCGUCCCUUCAUCCACAAGCCCCCAAACGCCACCCAGCCUCCCUGUAAACCUACGUGCAAACAGUCUCUAGCUUCAGGUAAUGCACUUCGGUUGUCAGACAGGCCCCUUUUCUGAUCUCGACUUCGGAUCUCGGGGCUCACGGCGCUGAUGAGCAUUUUCAGGUUGGCUGUGGGUGUCCAUGGCUCUCCUUGGGAGACUUCCUUGGGCUUGGUUGGUGUGGUUAGAGGGCCCAAGUCAGGCUGGAUCUCAGCCAACACCAUGUUGGCCUUCGAGGACGGAUGCAGGGGGCUUUUCAUCAGUCCCCUUUUAUGUGGCUCAGAAAAGAGGUU